rnacentral:rRNA from 1 species
AGUUCUAACCAUAAACUAUGCCUGCCAGCGAUCCGCCGACGUUCCUCCGAUGACUCGGCGGGCAGCUUCCGGGAAACCAGAGCUUUUGGGUUCCGGGGGAAGUAUGGUUGCAAAGCUGAAACUUAAAGGAAUUGACGGAAGGGCACCACCAGGAGUGGAGCCUGCGGCUUAAUUUGACUCAACACGGGAAAACUCACCAGGCCCGGACACCGCUAGGAUUGACAGAUUGAGAGCUCUUUCUUGAUUCGGUGGGUGGUGGUGCAUGGCCGUUCUUAGUUGGUGGAGCGAUUUGUCUGGUUAAUUCCGAUAACGAACGAGACUCUAGCCUACUAACUAGGCGUUUCCGGUAUCCACAAUCGUGCUACCGGCGAUCAUGAUUCUUCUUAGAGGGACAGGCGGCUUCUAGCCGCACGAGACUGAGCAAUAACAGGUCUGUGAUGCCCUUAGAUGUCCUGGGCCGCACGCGCGCUACACUGAAGGAAUCAGCGUGUCUUCCCUGUCCGAAAGGACCGGGUAACCCGCUGAACCUCCUUUGUGCUAGGGAUUGGGGCUUGCAAUUGUUCCCCAUGAACGAGGAAUUCCCAGUAAGCGCGAGUCAUAAGCUCGCGUUGAUUACGUCCCUGCCCUUUGUACACACCGCCCGUCGCUACUACCGAUUGAAUGAUUUAGUGAGGUCUUCGGACCGGUGCGCGGAGGCCGCUUCGCGGUCUCCGUAGUUGCUGGAAAGAUGACCAAACUUGAUCAUUUAGAGGAAGUAAAAGUCGUAACAAGGUUUCCGUAGU